AGCGAACGCUGGCGGCAGGCUUAACACAUGCAAGUCGAGCGGGCAUAGCAAUAUGUCAGCGGCAGACGGGUGAGUAACGCGUGGGAACGUACCUUUUGGUUCGGAACAACACAGGGAAACUUGUGCUAAUACCGGAUAAGCCCUUACGGGGAAAGAUUUAUCGCCGAAAGAUCGGCCCGCGUCUGAUUAGCUAGUUGGUGAGGUAAUGGCUCACCAAGGCGACGAUCAGUAGCUGGUCUGAGAGGAUGAUCAGCCACAUUGGGACUGAGACACGGCCCAAACCCCCGCGGGGGGCGGGAGGGGGGAAUUUGGGGAAAGGGGCGCAAGCCUGAUCCAGCCAUGCCGGGGGGGUGGGAAAGGCCCUAGGGUUGAAAAGCUUUUUUGGGGGGGAAAAAAAUGGGGGGACCGAAAGAAUAAGCCCCGGCUAACUUCGU
rnacentral:rRNA from 1 species